AAUAAAAAACAUUCCAAAUAUAU
rnacentral:snRNA from 1 species